UGUCAUGCAUGGAAUGGCUGGUUUUCAACUGUGUGGAAAGAACUAUUCUCAUACAGAAAAGAUAAAAUCAACCUUUACUUUCAAAAUUUUGGCAAAAACCACAAAUCAUCAACUCCAAGAAUAGGUUAAAGAAAAGUCAGGACAAAACAUUCAGCACUAUUUGACCAGGCCAGCAGCCAGCCACUUAAUUAGACAUGCAUAAACCUUUGCAGUAAGAAGAACCAUCAUAUGACAUUUCCAUCAGCGCUGCUCAUAAGGAAAAGUCCAUUUGGUUGAACCACUGAACAUUAUCUACGAGUUCACCUGUCUUUUACAGUUUAUUACUGACCAGAGUUGGGAUUUGAAAUACUUACAUGACUA
rnacentral:misc_RNA from 1 species